rnacentral:sRNA from 1 species
AAAGUGCCCGUGAUAUCUUGAUAGGCUAGCCAAAAAUUACGACCUCUUAGAAAUUAUUUCGAAUGGCUCGCCUGGAUCUGCCCCUAUGUCGGGCUCGGGAGAAAUUGAUCGUCGACGGACAUUAGAACUGCGGAAUGAAGGGUUGCGCAAGUUGAACAUUGUAAAUUGUCCAAGAACGGGCGAAAUGGAAUAGACUCGCACGGCAUUUAUGUCUGCAGAGUAUACACUGACUGGGCCAAUGAAUCGUGUACGAAUCCUGUAUGCGAAAGUGGAUCACAGGUAUCAAUAUUCUCCCUGAUUUCAGUGCCCAAUCAACCAUAUGUAAACAUGGUUUCUGUCCGUUUGUCCUUUCCGAGUCCCUGGACUCGAAAGAAGGGGGAAGUAGGCCAGCAAUACCUACCGCGAGAAGUAGCCCGCGAUAUCGCAAGUCGCCCCACGGAUACGCAAAACUCGUAUAGAUUCCAAAAGAACCUUGGAAAUAAGGUGCCUGUGCCUAGUGUUGCGCAUGCGCAGCGAGUGGUGGAAAUGUUUCUCAGAACAUCGUAGUUUCGGGAGUUUUACUCCAUUGGAUGUCAUGAUUCUGUACGAAAAAUGA